UUGAAAACUUCAACAUGAUUUUGAAUCUUCAAAAUUGAAAGAUAAAUUAUUUGAACAAUGGAAAAUUCUAGUGGAAUCAGCAGUAAAGAGAAACGUAUCCGGAAAUGAUUGGGCAUCCCUCAAAAAAGCGAAAUGAAAGGAGUCUGCAACGUCGAGCUGCUCACGGUCUGCGUGCCCCAUCCGGCAAAGGUUUUCAUCGGUGGAUUUAUUCUGGGUUACUUGAUGCGAGUACGUCACACGCGAGGUGGAAAAUUCUGCUCCCGACAAACUUCAAGUUCAGCAGAUAUUCCGGGGAAUAACGUCGAUGGCUCCAGCAAAAACUUUGGAAACUCCCAUGAGGCAGAAGGAAAAUGCGACAACUCGGUUACGAAAAAACGUCACAAAUUUCUUCACUACGAUUACAACUCUGCGCAUGAGGAUUGAAUUCUCUGGAAACUCAUGGGCUCCCGGUGAGCGCUGGCAAAUUACAACAACUCGACCCGGCACUUCCCCCAGUGAUAAAUGAAGGACAGAUCCUCCUGUAAUAUAAUUCCAACUACCAAGAAAGAGGGAAAGAACAUCACAAAGGCGCCGGAGUAAUACAAUUGACACCAAAAGAAUGAAUUGCAAAAGGUCAAACGACAUGAUUUCAAAAAAUGAAUGUAAAAAAUUUAUUAAAAAUUCUCAAACCGA